UACCUUCUCGUGGGCUCACCCUCAUCAGCCUGUUGCUUCAAGUAGGUUUGGGAAAGGAAGUUGCCUGGAAAGCGUUCCCUAGUGAGCUGAAACAGGCUCCUCUACUCUUCCUUUAGCAUUUUUAAAGCUAGAUAGAGGGAUAUUAAGCUGUUUUUGGGUUUUGGGUGAUAAUUAAUGGCUGCAAUGUUGAAGAUGGUGGUUGUUGCUCUGUUUAUCAUAUCGAUGAGCCUCGGAGGGAAAUGGGUCGGAGCCCAAGUGCACCAUGUGGUUGGAGACGACCGUGGCUGGGACCCUGCUACCGACUUAUCUUCCUGGUCCGCCGGUAAAAUCUUUAGGGUCGGAGACAAAAUCUGGUUCACGUACUCGUCAGCACAGGAAAGCAUCGCUGAAGUGAAGAGCAAGGAAGAAUACGAGGCGUGCGAUGUAAGCAACCCUAUCAAGAUGUACACGGACGGCUUGGAGAGCAUUUCGCUGGACGGAGAAGGGGUCCGCUACUUCGCGAGCAGCAAGGCCGAGAGUUGCAGGAAUGGUCUUAAGUUACACGUGGAGGUGCUGCCUCAGGGAGGACCUGAAAAUAUCCCAAAAGUGGCCGCAUCAAAGGGCACAGUUGUGGCUGUAGCUGAUGCGCCCACAACUCCAUCUGGCUCCGCCCAUCUUUUGGGGAGCCUUAUCCUCUUAGCCGUUGGAUUUCUUUGCUAUGUUGUAGGUGUUUGAUGGGAUUUUGUAUUUUAUUUAUUUAUUAUUAUUUCGGGAUUUUGUAUGUUGUAAUUCUAAAUUUGGGACAACUAUGGAGGUGCUACCUAUUCUCAGUUUGGGAUCUUUCUAUUUAAGGAUUAUUAAUUGAACCGUAUGAACAGUAGAAAAAAUAGCUCCCCCCUUUUGUUCUGUGCUACUUUUGUUUAUCAUUUAUGUUAUAAUUUUAUAAAAAAAAAAAAAUUGAGAA